rnacentral:rRNA from 1 species
GAUGAACGCUGGCGGCGUGCCUAAUACAUGCAAGUCGAGCGAACGGACGAGAAGCUUGCUUCUCUGAUGUUAGCGGCGGACGGGUGAGUAACACGUGGAUAACCUACCUAUAAGACUGGGAUAACUUCGGGAAACCGGAGCUAAUACCGGAUGAUAUUUUGAACCGCAUGGUUCAAAAGUGAAAGACGGUCUUGCCGUCACUUAUAGAUGGAUCCGCGCUGCAUUAGCUAGUUGGUAAGGUAACGGCUUACCAAGGCAACGAUGCAUAGCCGACCUGAGAGGGUGAUCGGCCACACUGGAACUGAGACACGGUCCAGACUCCUACGGGAGGCAGCAGUAGGGAAUCUUCCGCAAUGGGCGAAAGCCUGACGGAGCAACGCCGCGUGAGUGAUGAAGGUCUUCGGAUCGUAAAACUCUGUUAUUAGGGAAGAACAUAUGUGUAAGUAACUGUGCACAUCUUGACGGUACCUAAUCAGAAAGCCACGGCUAACUACGUGCCAGCAGCCGCGGUAAUACGUAAGUGGCAAGCGUUAUCCGGAAUUAUUGGGCGUAAAGCGCGCGUAGGCGGUUUUUUAAGUCUGAUGUGAAAGCCCACGGCUCAACCCGUGGAGGGUCAUUGGAAACUGGAAAACUUGAGUGCAGAAGAGGAAAGUGGAAUUCCAUGUGUAGCGGUGAAAUGCGCAGAGAUAUGGAGGAACACCAGUGGCGAAGGCGACUUUCUGGUCUGUAACUGACGCUGAUGUGCGAAAGCGUGGGGAUCAAACAGGAUUAGAUACCCUGGUAGUCCACGCCGUAAACGAUGAGUGCUAAGUGUUAGGGGGUUUCCGCCCCUUAGUGCUGCAGCUAACGCAUUAAGCACUCCGCCUGGGGAGUACGACCGCAAGGUUGAAACUCAAAGGAAUUGACGGGGACCCGCACAAGCGGUGGAGCAUGUGGUUUAAUUCGAAGCAACGCGAAGAACCUUACCAAAUCUUGACAUCCUUUGACAACUCUAGAGAUAGAGCCUUCCCCUUCGGGGGACAAAGUGACAGGUGGUGCAUGGUUGUCGUCAGCUCGUGUCGUGAGAUGUUGGGUUAAGUCCCGCAACGAGCGCAACCCUUAAGCUUAGUUGCCAUCAUUAAGUUGGGCACUCUAAGUUGACUGCCGGUGACAAACCGGAGGAAGGUGGGGAUGACGUCAAAUCAUCAUGCCCCUUAUGAUUUGGGCUACACACGUGCUACAAUGGACAAUACAAAGGGCAGCGAAACCGCGAGGUCAAGCAAAUCCCAUAAAGUUGUUCUCAGUUCGGAUUGUAGUCUGCAACUCGACUACAUGAAGCUGGAAUCGCUAGUAAUCGUAGAUCAGCAUGCUACGGUGAAUACGUUCCCGGGUCU